UACGUAGGCAGCAAGCGUUGUUCGGAGUUACUGGGCGUAAAGAGUGUGUAGGCGGUUUGCCAAGUUCGGUGUGAAAUCUCCCGGCUUAACUGGGAGGGUGCGCCGAAAACUGGCAGGCUCGAGUGCGGGAGAGGAGAGCGGAAUUCCUGGUGUAGCGGUGAAAUGCGUAGAGAUCAGGAGGAACACCUGCGGUGUAGACGGCUCUCUGGACCGCAACUGACGCUGAGACACGAAAGCGUGGGUAGCAAACAGG
rnacentral:rRNA from 1 species